rnacentral:misc_RNA from 1 species
UCGAGUUUUGAACGGGUUGUUGCUGGCCUCAUACGGGGCAUGCGCACGCCUGACUUCAUCCACUCUUCAACCUCUGUGCACUUAUUGUAGGCUAGCGUGAAAGGUCGCAUUCAUUUGCGGCUGGAAGCCUGUCUACGUUUUACUACAAACGCUUCAGUUAUGGAAUGUUUAUCUGCGUAUAACGCAUUUAUAUA